AGCGAACGCUGGCGGCAGGCCUAACACAUGCAAGUCGAGCGCCCAGCAAUGGGAGCGGCAGACGGGAGAGUAACACGUGGGAACGUGCCCUUUGGUUCGGAAUAACUCAGGGAAACUUGAGCUAAUACCGAAUAAGCCCUUACGGGGAAAGAUUUAUUGCCAAAGGAGCGGCCCGCGUCCGAUUAGCUAGUUGGUGAGGUAAUGGCUCACCAAGGCGACGAUCGGUAGCUGGUCUGAGAGGAUGACCAGCCUCAUUGGGACUGAGACACGGCCCAAACUCCUACGGGAGGCAGCAGUGGGGAAUAUUGGACAAUGGGGGCAACCCUGAUCCAGCCAUGCCGCGUGAGUGAUGAAGGCCUUAGGGUUGUAAAGCUCUUUUAGCAGGGAAGAUAAUGACGGUACCUGCAGAAAAAGCCCCGGCUAACUUCGUGCCAGCCGCCGCCGUAA
rnacentral:rRNA from 1 species